rnacentral:rRNA from 1 species
AACGAACGCUGGCGGCAGGCCUAACACAUGCAAGUCGAACGCGAACGCACCUUCGGGUGUUAUUAGAGUGGCGCACGGGUGAGUAACGCGUGGGAAUCUACCCAGUAGUACGGAAUAACCAAUGGAAACGCUGGUUAAUACCGUAUACGCCCUUCGGGGGAAAGGUUUACCGCUAUUGGAUGAGCCCGCGUGACAUUAGCUAGUUGGUAAGGUAAGAGCUUACCAAGGCGACGAUGUCUAGCUGGUCUGAGAGGAUGAUCAGCCACACUGGAACUGAGACACGGUCCAG